CCACAGGGAGCCUUGCUUGCACCCAAGCAACUGCUGCCGGAGGAAUUCUCCCUGUGAAGGUCAGCAGGAGCUCCUUAAGUGAGGCCGGCGGAGCAGGCCGAGGGUCCAGAAAUGGGAACGCCGGUUUGGUGAUCCAAACGGGAGGAUGCCCAAGAGCAGGAUCCCGCCCCCACUGUGUCCUAGUCACUCAUUUUUGCAUCUUUUUAAUCAGCUAUAUAUUUGAAAAGGAAAAAAGAACAAAUAUCUAUAUAUCUA